AUCACCCGUCACACUAUGGGAGUUGGUCAUGCCCAAAAUCGUCACCUUAACUGUAAGAAGGGGGAUGCCGAAAGCAGGGCUAGUGAUUGGAGUGAAGUCGUAAUAAGGUAGCUGUACUGGAAGGUGCAGCUG
rfam:Gossypium raimondii Chr01_contig_1273, whole genome shotgun sequence.